GAAAUCCCCGGGCUCAACCUAGGAACUGCAUUCGAAACUGGCAGGCUAGAGUCUUGUAGAGGGGGGUAGAAUUCCAGGUGUAGCGGUGAAAUGCGUAGAGAUCUGGAGGAAUACCGGUGGCGAAGGCGGCCCCCUGGACAAAGACUGACGCUCAGGUGCGAAAGCGUGGGGAGCAAACAGGAUUAGAUACCCUGGUAGUCCACGCCGUAAACGAUGUCGAUUUGGAGGUUGUGCCCUUGAGGCGUGGCUUCCGGAGCUAACGCGUUAAAUCGACCGCCUGGGGAGUACGGCCGCAAGGUUAAAACUCAAAUGAAUUGACGGGGGCCCGCACAAGCGGUGGAGCAUGUGGUUUAAUUCGAUGCAACGCGAAGAACCUUACCUGGUCUUGACAUCCACAGAACUU
rnacentral:rRNA from 1 species